UCCACAAGGGUUGGGCCACCGGCUUCAGGUGUUACCGACUUUCAUGACUUGACGGGCGGUGUGUACAAGACCCGGGAACGUAUUCACCGCAGCGUUGCUGAUCUGCGAUUACUAGCGACUCCGACUUCAUGAGGUCGAGUUGCAGACCUCAAUCCGAACUGGGACCGGCUUUUUGGGAUUCGCUCCACCUCACGGUAUUGCAGCCCUUUGUACCGGCCAUUGUAGCAUGCGUGAAGCCCAAGACAUAAGGGGCAUGAUGAUUUGACGUCAUCCCCACCUUCCUCCGAGUUGACCCCGGCAGUAUCCCAUGAGUUCCCACCAUUACGUGCUGGCAACAUAGAACGAGGGUUGCGCUCGUUGCGGGACUUAACCCAACAUCUCACGACACGAGCUGACGACAACCAUGCACCACCUGUUCACCAGUGUCCAAAGAGUCCCGUAUUUCUACGGUGUUCUGGUGUAUGUCAAGCCUUGGUAAGGUUCUUCGCGUUGCAUCGAAUUAAUCCGCAUGCUCCGCCGCUUGUGCGGGUCCCCGUCAAUUCCUUUGAGUUUUAGCCUUGCGGCCGUACUCCCCAGGCGGGGAACUUAAUGCGUUAGCUGCGUCACGGAAACCGUGGAAUGGUCCCCACAACUAGUUCCCAACGUUUACGGGGUGGACUACCAGGGUAUCUAAGCCUGUUUGCUCCCCACCCUUUCGCUCCUCAGCGUCAGUUACGGCCCAGAGAUCUGCCUUCGCCAUCGGUGUUCCUCCUGAUAUCUGCGCAUUCCACCGCUACACCAGGAAUUCCAAUCUCCCCUACCGCACUCUAGUCUGCCCGUACCCACUGCAGGCCCGAGGUUGAGCCUCGGGAUUUCACAGCAGACGCGACAAACCGCCUACGAGCUCUUUACGCCCAAUAAUUCCGGAUAACGCUUGCGCCCUACGUAUUACCGCGGCUGCUGGCACGUAGUUAGCCGGCGCUUUUUCUGCAGGUACCGUCACUCUCGCUUCUUCCCUGCUAAAAGAGGUUUACAACCCGAAGGCCGUCAUCCCUCACGCGGCGUUGCUGCAUCAGGCUUCCGCCCAUUGUGCAAUAUUCCCCACUGCUGCCUCCCGUAGGAGUCUGGGCCGUGUCUCAGUCCCAGUGUGGCCGGUCACCCUCUCAGGCCGGCUACCCGUCGACGCCUUGGUGAGCCAUUACCUCACCAACAAGCUGAUAGGCCGCGAGCCCAUCCCAGACCGAAAAAUCUUUCCAACCCCCACCAUGCGAUGAGAGCUCAUAUCCAGUAUUAGACGCCGUUUCCAGCGCUUAUCCCAGAGUCCAGGGCAGGUUGCUCACGUGUUACUCACCCGUUCGCCACUGAUCCACCAAGCAAGCUUGGCUUCACCGUUCGACUGCA
rnacentral:rRNA from 1 species